ACUGGGGUGGCAGAGCUCGGUAAAUUGCAGAAGGCCUAAACCCUUCGUCCAGGGGUUCAAAUCCUCUUCCCAAUU
rnacentral:tRNA from 1 species